UACAGAGGCCCCGAGCAUUACCCGGAAUUAUUGGGCGUAAAGGGUGCGUAGGUGGUCAUGUUAGUCGUCUGUUAAAUCUCAGGGCUUAACCCUGAAAUCGCGGGCGAAACGGCAUGACUCGAGAGCGUGAGAGGUGAAUGGAACUCAUGGUGUAGGGGUGAAAUCCGUUGAUAUCAUGGGGAACACCGAAAGCGAAAGCAAUUCACUGGCACGUUUCUGACACUCAAGCACGAAAGCGUGGGUAGCGAACGGG
rnacentral:rRNA from 1 species